AGAAGGUGGAGGCCGUCCUGGUCAGCGUGGGCAUGCAGUGGUACUCAGGCGCCAUCGAUCGCUUCGCCCGCAUCGUUUGGCUCGGCUACCUCGUCUUCUACAAUGUCAAAAGCCCCGGCAAGAAGGCGAUCUAUGGCACCUUAUGGGUCCUCACUGCUGCCAAGUUCCUGCAAAGGGUCGUCGUCAAGAUGGUGCUGGAGCGUUCCUUCGCCUACGGAAGGAACACCCAGCUGCUCAACUCAUACAUGGCCCAGAUCAUCCAACAAGAGCAAGAGCAAGAGCAAGAGGAGCACUCGGGAUCAUCGUCGUCGGCGGAGCUGUUGAAGAAGUGCGAGUACACCGUGAUGGGAGAAGAAAAUCUGGAGAGGACGGCUGGCCGGCAUGGCUACCAGGUGGAGCUGAACAAGGCGGCCGUUGUCACCGUUGGUGACAUUUGGACGCAGGCAGCAGCCGAGCCGGACAGCCUCCUCCGGAGAGAACACCUUAGAAGGCUCUGCCUCUCCUUUGCUCUCUACAAGCUGCUGCGCCGGAGGUUCGAGGACAUCCCCACAACAAGAGAGGAGACCCGGAACUGCCGGAACCUCAUCUUCAAGGGCUUGUUGAAGGAGCAAGAAGGUGCCGAGGUCGCACUGUUCCAAGUCUUCAACGAUGAGACCCAGUUCGUUUGCGAGUACUACCAUUCCGUCCUACCCGUCGUCUUGUCCGACCCUUUCUUCUUCCUGGUCAACUACAUCCUGUUUCCCAUUGUAGUUUCUGCCUUCUGCCUCCUAACACUGAUCAUCUGCGGCAAUGGGAGCGUCCGCUACGCCUACCAGAGCAUCACAAGUGACAACUACAUCAUAUACACUGGCGCGACGACGCUGACCAGAUGCCUCCUGAGAAACAUCGCCCAUUCACCCGAGGUGCUGUUCGCCAGCAUCGACCUAGGCACCACCACUCUGCUCAUCCUGGCCUUCGUCUACGAGGAAGUCGUGGAGGUCCUCGUCUUUAUCCUCUCCAAUUGGCUCAUCGUGUCGCUCCUCUGUCAGUACACCGCCAAGCGCCACUGGCGGCAGAGCCGCAUGGUAUGUUGGCUCAUCCGCGGCAUCCUGUGGGUGCGAAGCAUGCUAAGCCACCCUAACCUCAGCUUCAAGCAGCUCUCCGUGCUAAGGUUCUUCCAACUGUCGUCGCCUUCGCCGAUCAUGGUGCCAACCAAGGCAGUGCCCAAGGAAGUGAUGGAGUCGAUCGUGGAUUAUCUGGUGGUUCACUUGGAUGUCUACGGCAUCGAUGGCCAUGACGACCCUCUCAAUUCGGCCUGGUCCUCCACACUGCAACAGGAGAAGCACAGGGCAUACCGUCCCCUGCUCUUGCCGGUGUGUGAGAGCAAGAGCAUCGCUGAGUUCAUCCUCACCUGUCACAUUGCCACCGCCCUAAUGGAGGUGAGGUACCCGCAGGACGAAAAGGAAAUGGGAUCUCAUCGCAAGGUGGCGACGACGCUGUCCAAGUACUGCACUUACUUGGUGGGCUUUUACCCAGGGCUUCUUCCGGACGACAAGAAUGGGACAAAGCACACUUACAAGAAGAUGAAGGAGGACAUGAACAAGGAGCUUGGAGGGUGCUGGUGGUACCACCUGUCGCUGCAGGGAACCAGGUACAAGAGGCUGAUGGAGAUCGGCGAAUCGAAGCAGAAGGCCGUGACAAUGGUGCGCAACGGGGCCAGGUUAGGGACAGCACUGAUCGAGAAGGCCGAGGAGAACAACGAGGCGCGUGAUCGCGUGUGGGAGCUGCUGAACGACCUUUGGACGGAGGUCAUGGUGUAUGUGGCGCCGUCGGCCGGCGACCUCCACGUGAAAGCCCACAAGGAGGCGCUGGCGCGCGGCGGUGAGUUCAUCACCGUGCUUUGGGUGCUGUGUACGCACACCGGCAUGACCAGGCCAGCCCUCGCACCGUGGGAGGUAGCACGUCAUGCGUUUGAACCAUAGAGCAUUAUUGGCUUCCCGUGUGUGCCGAUCUUUCGAGGACAGCUUGCUUGGGAUGGUUCAUCUCACAUGCUCCAUUCCGCUACUAACGCUAACAUUAGUACCGCGUCAUAAUGUGACCGGUACUAAGGGAGUGGACGAAAGAUAUAUUAAAAAUAGAUAUAUAGCCACCCGUUGUGAAUGCAUGGGUUGAUGCCAGUAAUUCCUAGAAAACGAGGCCAACCACAACCUCUUCAUCCACUUCUCCGACGUGAGCGCACAAUUCUCAACACUAGUAAGAAACAGAGCUUUAGUCCCGGUUUUUUAGUCCCGGUUGGUAAGGAUCAUAGAUCCCAAAAAUCCAAUCGAGACUAACUAUUCAAGGCUAAAUGACUCCUUUAGUCCCGGGUCAUUCACCUGGGACUAAAGGUGCCCUUUAGUUCCGGUUGGUGUUACCAAGCGAGACUAAAAAAAUUCCAAAAAAAAUAAAAAAAGCCAUCCGCGCCCGCCGCCCGCCUGCCUCCCACGGCCGCGCUGGCCUCAUGCUGCCCGCCCGCGCCCACGCCGACCACGUGCUACGACCCGCCCGCACCCACCCGACCGACCGCCCGCGUCGGAGCAUGGAAGAAAGGGAGAGGAGGAAGAAGAAGAGAUAAGGUGGAGAGGCCCUGCGUGGGAGAUAAGAAAGGGAGGGGAGGAGAUAAGUGGAGAGAAAGGGAGGCGACGAGAUUUUGUCUUGGUUGGAAUUUCCAACCGCGACAAAAGAUUUACUUCCGGUUGGAAUUUCCAACCGGGAUAAGGGUGGCGUCGAUGUCAGAUUUUUUAGCUGUUAGAACCAAGCCUACAACCGUGACUAAAGCCCCUUCAGUCGGUGGCCUUUGGUGCCUCAUACCUGGGACUAAAGUCACUUUAGUUCCGAGUCCAAAGUCAACCAAGAUAAAAGCAUCAAGAUGGAAGGUCAGUUCUCUAGUAUUGCAAGCCUAGUGUCUGCCACCUCCUCUCCACCAACAUGUCCCUCUUUCUGCAUGUAACACUUUCACACAUGCAUGUAACUUGAUUAAUCUUCUCAUGCGUGUUCACAACAAACGCAUGGAUGAAAAACAUGUCAAGAUUAAUUUCCAACACUUUUUUCUUCUAUAGAUAGUUUCCACUAAGUGGUUCACCACAUAAUAAAAUUUAGAUACUUGUCUCUGCAUAUCAUCGAUCAAUGUUGUUAGAGGGAUACAACAUUAUCAUUGUGUACAUCAUAUCAAUGACCGAACUUCAACUAUUAUAGAUACUGUUAUACUGUUAGCAAUGCAUAUAUCUCAAAUAUUAUUGCUUCUCUUUAAUUAGCUAAAGAAUAGGAUGCUAGAAUGAAAACGUCAAAAGAAAAAACAUAAUGAUGAAGGCAUCAGGUCCUCUCUUUUGGGGGCCAAGAUUCCUGCUGAUAUUGAUAACAAAAGAAGGAUACCAUGGGUUCUCUCCCAUUUGGAACUAUAUGUGACAAAAGUUAUGCCAGUACCUUAAAUGCUAAGGCUUGCUCAUCUUUUGAAUUUUUGUUCUUUGGCGGCCCCUGUCAUUUGAGCCUUUUGAUAAAGUAAAGGAGAGGAGAAUAAGCGCUAAAGGAAAGACCAACUGCUAUGGUGUUACCCGAACACCAUUGGCGGCAUCUUUCGAUUUACAGUACAUGCAGGCACGCCAAUACUCUCCUUCAAUCGUGUGCUUGCAGAACCUAUGAAAACGAUGCUCAUGCUUUGCAAGGGCACGGAAAUUUCGACUCAGAACGUGUCCAGAGGAAAUGGGCCCACUCGUAUGAUUCAUGGGAACAUGAACAAACAGAGACGUUCAGAUUCAGAAGUAUGGAAUUUGCAAGUCCCCGCAACCCACCGCCCCCACGUUGCUCCCGCAUGAGUGACACUGGUGGACGAAACCCUCGCCGCUGCCGCCCCUUCCUCCCUCUCCCCACCGCUGUGCCACCGCCCAAGCCGGCCGCUGAAAGCCUACGCGUCUCAUGAGGACGGCGGCGGUGGGGCGGCCUGCUUCUCCCCUUGAUCUCCUGGUGGGCGUGGCCGCUGUGGAGGUCAGAGGGAGUCGCCCGUAGGGCGACACACGGCCGUGACAGCGAGGCCGGAUCCGGGGCCCCUGUGGCCGGAUCCGGGGCCCUCGAUGCCGGAUCUGUCUCCAAGUGCGGUGGCGGUGGCUUCCCCCACGCGGGGCAGUGGUCACCCUGCCCGGUGCGGAAGCUGCACGAGCGGUGUGCGCCAGGGUGGAUGCCGCGCGGUGGCGGCUGCGUGGGCCAAGGCUGAGCAAGGGGCGAAGUGGGCGGCCGCGGUCCUAUGGCAAGGUGGGGUCAACGUGCAGGCCUCCUUCGAUGACUACCUCCAGGACCGCACCAUGUUCCCCGACGAGAGCAAGAGCCAGCGGAUCAGUGAUGGGGAGUGGCGGGUCCAGAUGCUGCUGCUGCAAUUCCUCCUCGUCACAGUGCGCCCUGUGGUCAUCAUGCAGCUGCAACACCGCACUGGUGGGCUCGACCCCAGUGGCGACAUCUGCAGUCCUCGGCGGUGAGCUCCUAGGGAGCGGUGACAGUGUGAAGGCGACAACGGCGAUCUGGGUGGUGCGGCGGUGGUCCCGAUGCGAGGCAAAGAAGGCACAUGGUAGCAGGGGCCGCUAGGAGGUGGGGACACGGAGGAGGCGCCGAAGGACAAGACGAGGAGGAGGUGUCGGGCAUACACCUCAGGGCCACGAGUAGGCCUUGUACGGCCCACCCAGGGGCGUACUCGGACAUGAGCAGGAGUUGGAAGCUAUGUCACAGGGUAACGUAGCCUACACGGACUACUGAAGACUAGUCUUGGUGCAUAAGGAAACUACUCUACCUAGUUGGAGUAGGACUCUGUAAUCAUAAUCGACUAGGAUUCCACCCUGUAACCCUGCUCCCCCGAUAUAUAAGGGUAGGCAGGGACCCCCUCCAAAGAACCAACUCAUACGCAAUACAAACAUCACACAAGACGUAGGGUAUUACGCGUUCUAGCGGCCCAAACCUGUCUAAAUCGUGUGCCUUGCAUCACCAUCAACUCCUUGAUUCUCGACGUCUCCACCACACAAAAUACCUCCUAGAGGACUCCCUAAGCGGGUUGCCGGUCUAAAACACCAACAGCUGGCGCACCAGGUAGGGGAAGUCGCCGAGUUUCUUAGCGCGAGAUCGAUGGCACCAAUUGUCAUCAAGCCAGCGCUCGCUUUCAAAGCAGGCGCAACUUUCAUCUUCGACUCCUGGCUUUGCAUCACCAACGGCGCCGGAUCCUUCCAGUGCUACCUCAUCGACAACCGGGAGAAAGAGCAUCUCAACGAAAACCCUCUUCGUAAAGAAGCAGACAGCCUCAUCGAGAAAAUCGACAAAUUCAAUCUCAGAUCAAGAUUCGACUACAACUCGAAGUCCAACGACGACUCCGAGUUCGACUACAACUCGAAGUCUGACUAUGACUCCAUUUUUAGUUUCGAGUUCAACCCCAACUUGGGGUCCAACUACAACUCCAAAUCAUAUCCAGGUCAAACUCCAUUCGGACUCCACAACGCAGCCACGGUCCAUCACUCCUUACUCGAAUCCAAUUCGGACUAGAGUCGAAGGAAGACUAUGCUACGACUCGGAUACACCCGAAGAGUUCAUCAGCAACUGCCACAGCUUCGUCGAUGACGACUUCCACGGGCGGCUCGCCGGUGACUUCUCCGACUACGUCGCGGCGCUCACUUAUGACUAUGGGCGGCUUGCUAACAAUUUCUUGGACUAUGUCAUGGUACUCGCCGACGACUACUUCAACAGGUGGCUCACCGGUGACUUCUCUGACUACGUCGUGGUGCUCACUGAUGAGUACGGGCGGCUCACCGACAAUUUCUCAGACUACGUCAUGGCACUCACCGACGACUACUUCGCUUGGCGACACACCGACGAAAACUUUGUCUGCUCACUGACGACUUCUCCGACUACGACACAGCGCUGGCUGACGACUAUGGGCGGCUCGCCGAUGAUUUCUCGGACUACAUCGUGGCACUCGACGACGGCUACUUCGACGGACGGCUCCCCGACGACUAAUCCGACUUUGCGACGUCCCUCGGCGACCCACCGAUGACUACUUCAACUUCGCGCGGGCGCUCGACAACUCGUUGAUGGCUACUUCGCUCGGCGCACACCAACGAAUACUUCGACUGCUCACCGACGACUUCUUCGACUACGUUGCGAUGCUCGUCAACGACUACUUCGACGGGUGACUCGCUAGUGACUACGUCGACUACUUGUCCCGACUAGAAAACUAGUCGGGGCAGAUUUCGCACCAUCAACGACUGGUCGGAACCGACUCCGACUAGUCAGCUUCGUCAACAACCGUCAUGGUUUCAUUGACGACCACCUUGGCUUCAUCGACAAUCAUCGACGAAUCAAGCUAAGUCUCUUUUCUGACAAUUUCCUAGCUUGAUUUCCUCUUGCGCACAAUACGCGCUCUACUCGCUAGAGGGCAGCAAACUCUCGCGCACAACACGCACUCUACUCACCGGAGGGCAGCAAAACUCUUGUGCAAUCGUGCUUGCUUUUUGUCGCAGCAGCGACUACUCACUUUUGUCUUCUCUUAAGAUCACUACUCUUCUCAAGAUGAACUUGCCUUGACACGUGAACGCCUCAGGUGCACCUGUGACGCCAAAUGCUAGCACACAUACACGAGACCACGCUCUUAGUUGUGCACAUAGCAAUGCCCAUACAUGUAUAUGAGACAACGCUCUCACACAUGCAAUGGCUACGGCUAAAUGGGGACUAAGAGCCUAAACGUAAUAGGCUAAAUGCUCGAGAAGAAUAUGAUCAAAAUAAGAGCAUGACACACAAUAUUUCAUAUUGAUCACUGAAUAACUUUCAGUAGUUUCAAUAUUCUACAAAAAUGCUACAUAUUGUACGCAUCUUUUCUUUCAAGUCAAACUUUGGCGAUGACGCUCGUCGUGUCACUAAGCAUGCCUCUAACGGCAUAGACUAGUUCCCGAACUCGGGGACUAAGCACCAAUCACUACUCGGGAUAUCUCUAGUGACUCAGCUAGCUCCUAGGCUCGGGGGCUAGACGCCGCAAAACUACUCGAUGUGGCUCCUACGGCUCGCCCAGCGCAUAAGCUCGGGGGCUGGAUGCCGCAAAACUACUCGGAUGAUGACUUACGCAGAGAUUCAAGAUCCUUGAGAUGAUUAUUCAAUCAAUUCAAGGCUCGAGGGCUGAUAAGCUACACCCAUCAGUUGAUUUUUUGUCAAGCCGGAAGAAAAAGUUUCAAGAUUUUGACCCUCAGCCUGAUUCUACGAGUCAACCUAAGGCUCAGGGGCUCCUCCAUAUGGAGUGUGAUUGUCAUCGCACUAUCAUAUAAAGAUUCAAGACAAAGGCUACUUGAAGCAACGUUACGCAAAGCAGAGAGUACCUUCCAGCCAUGUGACAGUACUCGGUUACUCGAAGGCUAGCCACCACGAGAAGCGCUCAAAAAGCACCAGAUAGUACUCGGGCAACCUCUUCAAGUACUCUGAGCUGUUCCACUCGACUACAAAGUACUCGGGGGCUUGUCAGGCAUACAUCCCCAGCCCCACGAGUAGGCCUUGUACGGCCCACCUAGGGGCAUAGUCGGACGUGAUCAAUACUUGGAGGCUACGUCAUAGGGUAACAUAGCCUAAACGGACUCCUGAAGACUAGUCACGGUGCAUAAGGAAACUAUUCUACCCAGUUGGAGUAAGACUCUGUAAUCGUACUCGACGAGGAUUCCACCCUGUAACUCUGCUCCCCCGAUAUAUAAAGGCGGACAGGGACCCCUUCCAAAGAACCAACUCAUAAGCAAUACAAGCAUCAUACAGGAUGUAGGGUAUUACGCGAUCUAGCGGCCCAAACCUAUCUAAAUCGUGUGCCUUACGUGACCAUCGACUUCUUGAUUCUCGACAUCCCCACCGCACAAAAGACCUCAUAGGGGACUCCCUAGGUGGGUUAUCAGUCUAAAACACCGAUAGGAGGUGCGAUGGACAAUAGUGACCCAUCUAGAAGAGCUGCAUGGAGAGGAUGCCGGUGCAGAGGACGGCAACGUGGAGAUGGUCGUGCAAGCGAUGAGGAGCGGAGCGGCGGCUCGAAUGCCACGAGGCCAUUCUGGUGCCGCGGGAACCACUCACAUGCUGACGUUGUGGUGGUGUGAGGAUCUACGCUGGUGGUAGUGGGGGCCAUUGUCGCAGAAAGCUUUGUGUUUGCGCACAUGGUACAACUGAGAUUAUGACGGCGGCAAGGUGGAGGUGAAGUUAUUAGAGUAGCUCGGUGGGACCAUGUCACCCUGAUGGAAAAUCAUGUCUGGAUCCUUGGUAUGGAGUCCAGCGGUGGAAGUGGUGAGAUCCCCGUUUGCUUUAAGGUGAUGUGUACGAGGAGUUGUGUGUGGCGGUGAAUGUGGCUAGAACCCCACACAUUUUGAGUUGCCUUGGAGGGCCAGGAUCCGGUGCAGUGUUUUGAUGGUUGGUGUGUACGGUGCGAUAGCAGUGCUUCGGCGUUGGGUCCUGCAGUGCGGUGGUCGUUUCAGUGUGGUGCAGUGUGCUCCUCCUUUGACUUAUGCUAAUACAAAGCCGUGGAUUGGGAGAUCGAUGACCGUGUGUGUGUGACCUGAGGACGACGACGACAUGGUAGAGAAGCCCUAGUAGCUACACGACUUGCAGCGGACUGCGACGGCCAGUCCUACGUGGCUUCGGCUGGUUUGGCUGGGACAUCGUCGGGGACGAUGGCGCUAGCGAUGAGGGCUACUUGGCGGCUUUUCCUGCUCAGUGGUGGUGGCAUGGUGGUCGCUGCUAGCUCAAGCGUUAGCGUUGAGUGGCUUUGCGUCGACGACCACCCAUAGAGUUCUUUUUUUGUUUUGAGUUGAGUCGGCAUUAUCUGUUGGGAGCUACUUCGGUGGCUCUGUUGUUAUACCCAGUCUAGGAUCUUUCUUCUUUUUAAAUAAUCGACAGCUCUCCUGCCUGGUUUGUUUGAAAAAAAUUCAAAAAUACGGUUGGAUGUAAGAUUAACGAGUUAAUCUUCAUGUAGCAUGUACAUAGACAUGUAACCAAGAAACACAAACUUUUUUACAACGGAACUCAAGUGUAUUUGAGUUGUACAGGCAGAGAUAUGACUAUAGAAAUUGGGGAAGCAGCACUUUGCAUGUAAUAUAGGGUUGAAUAAAUCACCUCUACCGUGGUUUAUACGUCAGUACUGUACAACAAAACCUGGCCACCAUCCCUAAAUUACAUGAUAAAAACUCUAUCAUCUACAACCAACAACUCUAGGUACGGUAGUUGUACACAUUACACGAUAUUGGUACGUAUGUUUAACUUGACCUGAAUGCAUAUGUUUAACCUUGGAGAAGAUAGUCCGAUUCAACCCUUAGAAAUCCUUUAAGAGAUGUGUCCAUGUUAAUCUUGCUACUACUAAUUGGAGAUACCGGAGGAUUCUCAAGUUAAGACGCAUGGGCGGCCGUGCUAGAAAAAAUAAGAUCUCAAAAACUCAUGAAAACAGAAAUUGCACCUCAUCACAAGGUGGACACGGUGCCCUACUGCAGCCCAAGCAACUACUACACUUGCAUUGGUGUUCUUUUCAGACAGUGCUCGCUGCAGGACAAAACGCUGACAGAGAUUUGUUGUUGCCAUUCUAGAAUCGUUUUAGCUGUGGCUUCGUUUCAUUCAGGAUUAAUUUGCAAAAAAAAUGUAUUUUCAGUGGAAAAUAAUGUAACCAGAUUGGCUCGAUUGCCCCAGAAAGAUAUAAUAACUCCAUGCAGUAACAUAUACAUGGUCAUACUUUAAUUAUUGUGCGUACAGUUGUACUACAGCAAGGCAUAUAUCUUAGCUGUCUCUUCGCUUUAACUAAAGAAUUGGAUGCUAGGAUGAAAGAUCCAUGGUUUGGGGCCACUAUUACUAGCUUUCUGCUGAUAUUGAUAACGAACGUAGGAUGGCAUGGGUUCCCUCCCUUUCUACAAAUGGGAGAGAACCCUGGUAUCCUUCUUUCGCUAUCAAUAUCAGCAGGAAUCUUGGCCCCAAAAGAGAGGACCUAAUGCCUUCAUCAUUAUGUUUUUCUUUUGACGCUUUCAUUCUAGCAUCGAUCCUAUUCUUUAGCUAAAGCGAAGCAAUAUUUGAGAUAUAUGCAUUGCUACAGUAUCUAUAAUAAUUGAAGUUCGAUCGUUGAUGUACACAGUAAUGUUAUAUUCCUCUAACAACAUUGAUCGAUGAUAUGCAGAGACAAGUAUCUAAAUUUUAGCUCCAAGUAAGUUUUAACCAAAAGUUUAUCUUAAGGGGUUCCACGACCCAAAUCUGUACUCCCCUAAAAAUAAACUUCAAUGGUAGUCCGACGGACUAUAGGGCCACCUGAUUAAACCUAUGAUUAACGACCAACAUAUCUAUCACUUACUCUCACUAUUUCCUUAUUAUUUGGUGAACCGCUUAGUGGAAACAAUCUAUAGAAGAAAAAUGUGUUGGAAACUAAUCUUGACAUGUUUUUCAUCCAUGCGUUAGUUGUGAACGCGCAUGAGAAGAUUAAUCAAGCUACAUGCAUGUGUGAAAGGGUUACAUGCAUGUGUGUGAAUGCAGUGCAUGCAUGCGCGUAUGGAGAAGACUAGGAUCUGCAUGCAUAUGGAAGCUUAGGGAGUUAUGUGUUACUCAAAGAGUCUCUAGACAAUGUGAAUCGAACGUGUCUUGGUACACUGGUAGAAAACUGAGUAUUAGUCCCAGUUGGAACGUUGCAAAUCUCCCAAAAAACCAUCCGGGAUAAAGCAAUCGAGAUAAAAGGGGGUGUCUUUUAUCCCAGGUCCCUCAACCGGGACUAAAGACACCCUUUAGUCCCAGUUGGUAAUACCAACCAGGACUAAAUGGUUUUGCAAAAAAAAUUAAAAAAUAAAUAAAUUCCUGUGGGGUCCUAGGGAGGCCUCCCCGCGACAAGCCACAAGUCAUGCGAUUUUCACGCGAAAUAUGCGCAUGCGCGGCUCGUGGGAUUCGAACCCACGACCUCAAGCCUCGCGCGUAGCUUCCUUGCCAUCCAACCUACACAUCAUAUCUAACUAUAUAGGGGAUCCAAUCCUUUUAUACUAACUUGUGGGGAACCCUUUAAUCCCGGUUGGAGAUACCAAACGGGAUAAAAGACCCCCUUUUAUCCCGGUUUGCAUUACAAACUGAGAUAAAAGGGUCUGGAACAUUUAUUCCUUCCCCGGAGCACAUGUGGGGGACCAUUUUAUCCCAGUUGGAAACACCAACCGGGAUAAAAGACCCUAUUUUAUUCCGGUUGGUAUUACAAACCGGGAUAAAAGGGUCCGAGGCCUUUAGUUCCUUUUCAGCCACCCGUGAGGGACCCUUUUAUCCCGGUUGGAGUUUCCAACCGGGAUAAAAGACCCCAUUUUAUCCCGUUGGUGUUGUGAGCUUUAGUCCCGGAUGAUAACACCAACCGGGAUUAAAAGGGUGACCUUUAGUCCUGGUUAUUCUUACCAUCCGGGACAAAAGGGUCCCCCACAGGUAGCUAAUUUUUUCACCCGGGACUAAAGGGUCCCCCACGGGUGGCUGAUUUUUGAACUGGGACAAAAGGUAACUUUUAGUUCCGGUUGCAAAUACCAACCGGGAGUAAAGCUCUGCGAACGCCCUUUUGUACCAGCCUUCUUUAAACCGGGAUUAAAAGGAAGCGCAUCGAAAGUUAGUUCUCUACUAAUGGUAGUGUGAAACCCGGUAGUUCCUCAGCUUCUCCUGCUUCGAAUCUGAACUCCCCUCCCCGUGCUGACAGAAAAAGGGGUAUUUAUACCCUAGAGACGCCAUGGUAUAAAAGAGAAGUGGGCGAGGUGAAAGCCCAUGCCGAUCGGCCUAGGUGGGUCCAAGCCGAUCGACCUGGCCCUUCCUUUCAUCCCCAAUUGCUCAAUGGAAACUCUCAUUUCAUCAAGUCUCUCAAAGCCUAUGCUAGAACAUUGUCAACCUAUUCUACUUACAAACAAGUGGUAGGCUUAUCUGGAUCUUGGUAGGUAGAAACAGUCCUUGCAAAGUAUAAUAGUCAGAAUAUUAUCAAAUUAGGAAACACUUCUAUUGGGUUGUCAAAAAGGUCAUGGAGAAAUAGUUGCUUAUAGAGAGAGAAUGGAACACACACUUUUUUAGAUGGCGGACAUGUGCAAGGGAAAAUAGGUGAUCCCGAGACACAAAUGAAGUUAUUGUUAUCGAGUUGCAUAUGGUUAGAAAAUUUUAGUGUUAACCCUGCUCUUAAUCAUAUGUAACAAGACAUGGCACUCCAUUUAGAUGUUCAAUUAAUAUUCUAGCUUAUUAUUAUGGAGGAUAGACAUUUUUCAAUGAUGAACAAGCCACAAAGAAUUUAGAACAAUGCUCUCAAAUUUAAAUCAACUUCAGAACUUUUCUUUCAAUGGAGCAUAAUUUUCAAACAGGACUAGAUCAACAUCAGCAACAGAAUUCUUGCAAUUGCUCAAUGGAAACUCUCAGCUCAUCAAAUCUCUCAGAGCCUAUGCUAGAACAUUGUCAACCUAUUCUACUCAUAUAAACAAGUGGUAGGCUUAUCCGGAUCUUGGUAGGUAGAAACAGUCCUUGCAAAGUAUAAUAGUCAGAAUAUUAUCAAAUUAGGAAAUACUUCUAUUGGGUUGUCAAAAAGGUCAUGGAGAAAUAGUUGCUUAUGGAGAGGGAGAGACUGGAACACACACUUUUUUAGAAUGUUGACAUGUGCAAGGGCAAAUAGGUGAUCCCGAGACACAAGUGAAGUUCUUGUUAUCUAGUUGCACAUGGUUGGAAAAUGAGUAUGGAUUUACCUUUAGGGGACUGGGAAAUUUAUGAAGCUCAAAGAACUAUUGAGAAUUUUUAUUAUCAUCUUUCUUUUUGCUCUUUUUCUUCUUUUUCUCAUCUCAUUUUUAAUUUUAUUUUUUAAUUUUUUUCUUUUGCUUCCUUAGAACUUUUUGCAACAUAAUACUUACUUAGCAGUGGUCAGAGAUAACGCGAUGACUCCAACCCCCAUGCUUGAACGAUGCUCGUCCUCGAGUAUGAAAGAGAGAACUAUUGUGACCCUUUUGAGAUUCAUUUGAUGCUUUCAUGAUCAAGAUCACCUGCACUCCACCUAUAUAUGCUAAACUCCUACACUAGUAGUUCACAACAAUUAUCACCCAUCCAUUCCACAAAAUAAAUACUCCACUACAUAUGUUGAUUUCUCUCAAGUUAUCAUUACAAAAGAAACAUGGGCUAUUGAAAAAGAGAGGGACACAUGAAGGUCCCAGUAUAGAAAAAAAUAUGAACACAUGAAGGUCCAAGUAUUAAAAAAAUGAAGAAAAAAAGGAGUCGGACACAUGAAGGUCCAAGUAUGUGAAUAAAGUGGAAGAUAGCCAUGUUCUCAAUAUUAAAUAUGUCCAAAGGGAGAGAGAUUAUAUAAAAUGGAGUUUCCAUACAUUCCCUAUCCACCACCCACAUAUUCACACACAUGCACAUCUUGAUCUGAUUGUAUGACUUGUUUUCUCCUUAAAUCCGGUUUUUGAAUUUGCAAUAUAUGUAAUACAAGUAUGCUUUAUUUUCAUCCCCUACCUUGAGCUCCACAAAAAGCUUUAUUAGAAGUAGGAAGGAAAAGAGGCAAACAAAUGCCUCGGUAAGGAACCAUACACAUUGAGCGAUCUGAGAUAAUCAUUCGAGGAGCAAGUCUAUGCUUUGUUCUGAGAAUAUUUCAAAAACCUAAGAUAUCUGAGUACGAGAAGUUUGUUACUUCUCUUCUUCCUUUUUAUAUAUGUGCUCUUUUAUUGUACACAAUACUAAGCUAUACUACUGUUCAAAAAGGACUAGUAUACAAAUAUUUGACGGUUAAGAUUAAUUGUAUACUACUGAAACCUUCACCUGUGGUAUGGGUAGUAUACAUGACUAGUAUAAGGGUAUUAUGGUAAAAGAACACAAAUGAUAUCACUAAAAUUUUAUUUUUGACACUAGCAUAAAGUUUAAAAUGCCAUUUCAUUUGAAAUAUCACUUUUCACAUGUAAUAAUUACUAAAUCAUGAAUAUUUAUAUCUUAUAUAUACUUAUAUACUACUAAGUAGUAUAAGCAGCAGGGGAUUACCCCUCGUGUUCCUAAAGAUAAAAUAGAUUACAACUCCAGCGGACGUGCUACAAUUCUUCAGGGCGCCGUGCCUGCCCUGAAAAAUUCCUGAAUGAGGGACGAUUUGCCGAUGAAUACUGCUGAAAUCAACAAGCUGGCCAAGAGCCUUAAAAAGUGGUUGAAUGUUGAAAGCUAAAGUAAGCAAAGCGCACUUGAUCAGUCCAACACACAACUUCCACAAAUUAAACAUGAGCUAGCACGAAGCAGUUCAUCACGAGAUCGACACACGACUGUGCGGACAUGAAGUUGUUGAUGCAUGCGGUCUCUGAUCAUCACGUACCAGCAGGCGGUGAUUUACCAUUACCGCCUGCCACUGCUGGCGGAGGAGACGGUGCCGGCGGAGUGCUCCCCCAUGAGACCGGGUACUCCAGUUCUUCUUCCGUCUUGCAAGGGACCUUGCCGCCGUCCGGGGUGCUUGCAUCGCUACGGAGGAAGGUAACCGGCCAGCAGUAAUAGGUCUUGUUGAUGAUCUUCUCCGAGUGAGCACGCUUGUAGCUGGUCUCCACCACCACCAUCACGGGGAAGCUGCGGUGGUGCCUGUCGGAGAGGUAGUGCACCGACGCGUAUUGUCCUUGCCUGUAGAGGCUUACCCACCUCCUGUACCUGUGCGAGCUGUGCGGCUGCAGGUCGAAGAUGACGUUCGUCUCCGGCUGGUACCAUAAGAACUGCACCAUCUCCGUGAAGGAAGCAUUGGGGUUGUCUAUGACCCUGAUGAUGCUGAUGUUGCACUGGAUCUGGCCGCGGCCGCUGGGGUUGAGGGCGUCGACGAUGAUCAGCAUCGGCACCUCUCCCGCUGGCGAGUACACAGACGUGGUGUUGUCGUAAAUCCACCACCAUUGUUGUGUCUGGACAUAGCCGUAGCUCUGGAGGUCCAUCUCCACGGGGCGGUUGACGAAGACGAUCACCAUCACCACCACCGCGACGGCGAGCACGGAGACCACGACGGCCACCAGUGAGCGCACCGUGGCUAGGAAGGGGAAUGUAGUGUUCUGGCCAGCGCGGCAUGUUGCCAUUUUUUCUCACGUAGGUAGCUAGGGCGGUGGAUGAUGGACUUGUCCGCUAGGGACCUGCAGCCAUAUAUACACAUAAAUUACUGACCGAAUGUUCAUUCCCUUUUUUUGGUUAGAUGACUCAGAUUAGUCUACCGGUUAACAGGGGGCUUGGCUAACAAUUAGGCUGCCUAUUAACCUCCUGUUAGGAUCAGCCAUGGCAAAGUUUUGACGGUUAACGAUCUCCCUAUAUAUCUAAACAAGUUCUUAGGUCAUGUUCCGUUCUUUAGGAGCUCCUAAAAUUCAUGUCACAUUCGAUGUGACAUGAAUUUUAGUCUGGACUAAAGAACCAAACACCCCAUUACUCCCCUCCCCCUCCCACCUCCCACACCAAUGUUCAAAAUUUUGGCCGAAAUUUCAUGAAAUUUGAUCUUUUGGUAGUGACCGAAAUUACUAUUUGCCCGAAAUUUCGGUAUGUCAACCGAAAGAUGCACUUUUUGCACCAAAUUUCACAUGAAAUUUCAUGAAAUUAGGUGUUUUCGAUGGGGACUGAAACUUUUCUGAAAACAAAAUCCCAAUCCCUGCCCCACACCGUCCAAGUAGAAUUAGGACACACUCUUUAUACAGUGAUAAUUCAGGCUUCUGCCAACCACAGGAACCGGAGUUGUUUAAUUUUUUGGCAAAAUGUCGUGCAGAUGCUUACAUACAAAGCAUUCGUACAUGCACCAAUUAUGAGUACUUCUGCAACACCGUGUCAUUAUGCUUUCAAUAUCUGGUCUUUAAAAACCUUAGAUUUACCUAUGAUGACUUGGUUAAUUAAUCUCAAGAUCAUCUGCUACCUAGAGUUUUGGUGGCACUGGAUCAUAGGGCACAGUUGUAUGUGUAUUCAUCAGAAUGAGUGCAUGUGCAUCUAUAUGAUGUCCGUGUUUUUUUUAAAAAAAUAAACCUGCGCAGGUCAUGAUGCUUCCACUAUCCUGUCUUAUCUGUUUGGAUACCAGGGGCUAUACUUUAGCUCCUGUCAUAUCAGAUGUUUGAUACUAAUUAGAAGUAUUAAAUAUUGACUAAUCACAAAACUAAUUGCACAGAUGGAGGCUAAUUCGCGAGACGAAUCUAUUGAGCCUAAUUAGUCCAUAAUUUGACAAUAAGGUGCUACAGUAACCAUUUGUUAAUGAUAGAUUAAUUAGGCUACGUCUCGCGAGUUGGUCCAGAAUUUGUGCAAUUAGAUUUAAAAUUAGCUCAUGUUUAAUUCUCCUAAUUAGCAUCAAAACAUUAACUGUGACAAGGGCUAAACUUUAGCCAAGGACAACCAAGCAACAUGCACGCCUAUAUAUGCUCUUUGAUCAGAAAAGGAAAGAAAUAUUCCCAAAAAAAAGGAAUAUGUGCUGCGGUCCAUACACGUUCUUUGAAGAAAUAUUCCAUACUUAUUUUAUGUCAUUGUAGAAGGACUUUGAAUAAGGUUCGAUGGAGUCACGUGGCUGCGUCUGCUGGCAGCUGAUCGAUGAGUCAUAUUACUAUUGGACUUGUGUUUUGGAUGCUUAUGUUUUGGAUUACAUUCAGAAUGUACGGGCAGGGGCGAAGCCACGUAUAAGAUUUUUAUUUACCACUAAUUAGACUCAAAAUUACCAUAUAAUCCUAGCUUGUAAAUUAAAAUUUACAAGUCUCUUGAGCAGUGCACCACGGUCAAUUCAGCGCUAGCUUCGCCCCUUUGUACGGGGAUUAUGCAACCCAGAAACGACGACUAAGAGCCUCAUUUCCGGACAUGCGUCCCUAUGAUCCUUUAUAUACUCCAAAUGUCUGAGUGGCCGGCUCAUACUUGCCAUGGCGAUGUCUAUCCCUCCUCUCAAAGGAUGGAGCAGCAAGCUCCUUGUAGUUGCGGCCAUGAUAGGAACCCUGGUCGUGGUCGCCAUCGCCGCCGUCAUCAUCGUCGGCCUCACUCCGCCACUGGUCUUCUUCUCCAUCCAAGAUGCAAGCCUCCAAGGCGGGCAGUUGAAACAGCAAAAAUUCUACAACUUCACCCUCUAUGCCAACAACACCAGCCGGCGCAUGGAGGUGCACUAUACCAACCUCAACACCGAGAUCUGGAUAGCCCCGUCUGAGUGGUACCCGGCCGAGGUGAGCAUGAGCGGGUUCGAGCAGCCACCGGUGAGCAUCAACGGGUACAAGCAGCCACCGGACAACGUGACCAAGGUCGCCGGGUGGGCCGAGUUCUAUCAGACGACGUCGUUGACGGCGGCGGCGCAGGGCGGCGGCGCGGGGAAUUGGCCAAACUGCACUGUGGUGGUGAUGGCCAAGGUGUUGUUCAAGGUCGGGCUGGCACGCACACGGCCGUACCACAUCAGGGUGUUCUGCUUCCCCGUCAACUUCCUCAAUACGACUCGGUACGCCAAUUGUACAUACUGAUCUCGAUCGACGUGUAUGCAUGCAUCCAUGUUGUUGAACGUGUACAUGACUGUUGUGACGUGCUCCUUUACCAUAGCUUCAGAUCCUGACUUGUAGCAUUGACAGAGUAUGCGUCUAUUAUGGCAGAGAGCCUCUUGUACAUGUAUUUAACUCAAUCCAGAGAUCAAUAAUGAAAGGAUGCGGUUUUUUUUUAGGAAACAGGAGGGGAAGUACCCCUGCUGAUUAUAUAUUAAUAUAUAGUUGACAGUACACUAGUGAUACAAACCUUGUUUAUGACACAAAGAAAGAAACAAAAAAGAUUAAGAAAAUUACAGUGAAUGCUCUAACCAUUGAACCAUUGAUUGUUUCCAAGACUCUCUGACACGAAAUACUACCAAACUGAAAAUCUGUUUGAACCGUUCCUUUGCAGCUUGAUAAGCUGGCACUAGGGCCUUUGAAGAUGCAGUCAUUGCGUGUCAUCCAAAUACUCCAGCUCAUAAUUACGAUAAUUUCCAUAAAGAAAGGCACUUGCAACUGGUUCCAGCUCAUAAUUACGAUAAUUUCCAUAAAGAAAGGCACUUGCAACUGGUUCCAGAAGCUAACGAGAAUAUCAUAAGGUUGUUGCUGCAAAUCCACAAAGAGGCCGAGAUUGAUCCAACACUCCUGUGCGAAUGGACAAUCUAGUAAUAGAUGAAAGAGGGUUUCUUCCUUGUUGUGGUUCCAGAGGACGCAGUUAUAGGAAGGGAGAGCCAUCUGCUUUCGUUUAAGCUCCACUGGCGGCAGAGCCGCAUCCUGUGUCGGCUCAUCCGCGGCAUCCUGUGGGUGCGAAGCAUGCUAAGCCACCCUAACCUCUGCUUCAAGCAGCUCUCCGUGCUAGGGUUCUUCCAACUGUCGUCGCCUUCGCCGUUCAUGGUGCCAACCAAGGCAGUGCCCAAGGAGGUAAUUAAAGAUUUCUUCAUCGGUAAUGUCGCGCGGUUCUUGGUUUCAAGUACUGCCUGUAUUUUUUUAUUUUUUAUUUUUGCCUUGUCAUUUGGUCCGUCAGAACUAAGUUUGUCGAAUUCCUUCUGAAUAAGCUUGAGACGCUGGUCGUGCUUGUUUGUUGGUGUGCCUACGUGCCGCGUAGUUGUCGUAGCAAAUACUUUCGGUUCCAUAUCGCCUGUGACUGGACCGGGAUGUUCUUCAAUCUGUUAUGGCCCUGUAUUCUGUUUUUAUAUGGAUCCCACAUAUAAUCAAUUUCCAACAUUUGCUUUCCUCUGUACAUUCAGCAUGUUGUCUUUUUUUUUUUUUUGAAGCGCAUUCAGCAUGUUUCGCAGAUGUUUGGAAGGAUGAUCCAAAUUCUGAAUGCACAGACCCUGUUGGGAAAUUGAUUUCCCCACUGCGUGUCUGUGUUUACAUGCAUCUUCUAACUGUGGUUCCAAUGGCCCGUCUAGGCCCAUACAGGCCUAUCAGGUGGAUGGGCCGGCCGGCCUCCUGGAUCAACAAGACCGGUAUCCCUUCUUGGCCCGUCCGCCCCCGCUGUAGAAACAAAACCAGAACCAGCAGAUCCCCCGGGCCCUGAAGAGAAAGACGAUGGCAACAGAAGAAAGAGCUCGCGACGAAGCCGGCGAAAGCCCCCCAAACCCUCCCCAGCCCAGGCAGCGGCGGCGCGACGAGAUGGCCGACGACCCCACCGCCGGCGGCGGGAACACCGUCGAGGACGUCGUCCGCGCGGAGGUGAGCAUCCCCGGCCGGCCCUCGUCCUCUUUGCUGCGAGUGCCGGGGAAUCCGAUCUCCGCCCGGGCCGACCUGGCUCUGCUCGGCUGCCUCCCGAUCUGCCCGCGCGGGUGGCGGCGCCUCGCCCCUAGUUCGGUUUCGGGUUAGAGGUGUCCCAGCGUGGUGUCUGGGCGGGGGGAAUCCGGCGACGAGGCGUUCUCCCUCCCGUUGGCUCGGUUGGCGCGGACGGACGCGGUGGGCCUGGUUGGGGAAAUCUGUGCCCGUUUCGAUUUGGGUGUAGAAUAGGUAUACGUCUUCAAAAUUGAUAGAAUUAGGCCCGUUUAUAAAAAAUUGAUAGAAUCUGCCUGCAAGGCGCGGUUUCCCAGCUGGCCCGUCCUCAUUUACUAAUCCCCACCAAGCUUAGCAUCUUUCCUUUCGAUGAAAUAAAAAAAUGUUAAUGUCAACAGCUCCUCGAUUACCGCAUAGAUUAACACCUCUUUAGCCUUUGUGGCACGGCACCUAAUACUUUCCUCACCUUUGCAGUGCCGUGGGCCCGCCACUUCCCUUCUGGCCCACAAGUCAUGGAGGCGCGCGAGGAGGGGUAUCGGUUUCACGAUGAUUAAUCAAGAAAGGCCCAAGACACGUCACGCUGGGGGUGGGGGAGGGAAGACACCGCACCGCAUGCACCUGCAUGCACCUUUGCCUUUGCUUUUCCCCGGCGUCCUAGGGACCUCGAGCUCGCCCGCCUAGGAGCUCCAGCAGCCGGGCCGCUCCGCCGCCGGUGCGGCAACCACGCCGCCGUCAGACCACCUCGCGCGGCCACCCCGCGCCGGUGCGCCGUGCGCGGCGGUGCUGUCCCGCCGCUCCUCCGCCUACCGUCCUCCUGCGCCACCACCAGCUAGCGCACCGGCAGCACCGCGAGCUGCCGCGCCGCCCCGACGACGUUGGUCAUUCCGGAGCCCGGUGUCGUCACCAGCGUCGCCGGAGAAGGUAAUUACCUGAAGCAAUUUGUAGAAACGAAUAGUACUGGUUCGUUCACUUAUUUCAUUGCUCAAACUUAAUUUCUGCUUAUUAGAGUUUGUGCCUUGUCGUGAGACUAAAUUAGCUGCUUAUUCUGCAGGUUGCAUUCAGGAGAUCGAGCUGCCGGAUCGGAGGAGGUCAUAUCAGCCGUGUUGGUUGUGCACUUGUGUUGCUGCCGGCGGAGAAGGAACCAUGGUGAUCGGGCCACUGAUCUCCAUAAUGUAGUUGAACUAAAAUAAUCCCCUUCUGAGUUUAGCAUCUUUCCUUUGGAUGAAAUAAAAAAUUGUUAUUCCGGAUCCGUAAUCUCAACUGCUCCUCCAUUACACAUAGCAUCUUUCCUUGAGUUUAGCAUAUUAUUUCAACAUUUCAAAACUCUAGAUUCAACAUUUCUUGAAACUUAGUGCAACAUUUUAGAUAAAUCGAUUCAACAUUUAGCAUAGUAUUGUUGAAAAUGUUGAGCUAGUAUAUGUUAUUUCAACAUUUCUGCAAAGCUAGCUCAACAUUGAGGUAAUGUAGUUCAACAUUUUGUGUAGUAUUGUUAAAAUAGUGUAUCUAAAAUGUUGAGCUAAUACACAAAAAGUGUUGAGCUAGUAUAUAUUAUUUAAACAUUUCAAAAGUCUAGAUUCAACAUUUAUGGAAACCACAUUUUAGAUAAACUGGUUCAAUAUUUUGCAUAGCAUUGUUGAAAUAGUGUACCUUAAACGUUGAGCUAAAUAUAUAAAAAUGUUGAGCUAAUAUAUCUAAAAUGAUGAAACUAAGAAAAUAAAAAUGAAAAAAAUAUAUACAGUCAUGUGGGAUCUUAAUCCGUUAGAAAAAUUUCGAAAAGGCUCAUAGUUUAAUCGGAAUUAAAAUUAAAUGCACCGUUAGAGAGAUAAGUAAGUUGAAAAGUUCGAAAUCAAAACUCACAUCACCCAACAAGUAGCUGAAACCUAUCCGUCCUUUCAGCAGCUCCACCCACCUCGCACCAGCAUACUAGCACAUGGUGGUCCCCAGCCACCUCGAUGCCGUUGCGUCGAAGGAGAGGGCGGAACCGACGAGGGUCGCCGGCGGCUCCCACCCCGGCCGAACGCGUCCUGACCGACUCCGGCAGGGGGCGGCAGGGCCUCCCGCAGGUGAGCGCUUCCAUCCGUGGUCCGCAGCAGUAAUGUCUGAUUUUUCGCUUUCUUCUCCAGAAUUCGUCGCAUAUACUUAUAUGUCAUCGUCCUCUUAUUUUUCGCUUUCUUCUCCAGAAUUCGUCACAUAUACAAAGCUUUCACGAUUUCGAUGAGAGAUUUGGUCAUGUUUGUGGCCACGGAGACACAGUCUAGCUAGCGUAGUGAAAAGUGGCACUAGUGAUUGCAAUACGCACGGAAAUUGGUUUUUUGUCUGUUCUUUCUCCAUCUCAAUCAUCAAUCAAAUGGGGGUAGUCGUCGGUACGCCGGGUGGGCCGAGUUGGCCAAACUGCACAGUGGUGGUGGCAGCCAAGGUGUUGUUCAAGGUCGGGCUGGCACGCACACGGCCGUACCAUAUCAGGGUGUGUCCUGCUUCCCCGUCAACUUGGGGAGGUGGGCCAAGCGACAGCUAGCUGUGGUGUGGUGGGCAUCCAGCAGGCGCGCAGGGCCCAGCCGUGGCCGUGAUUAUGCGCCGGGGUGAGAGAAGAAGACACGGCACCUAAUACUUUCCUCACCUUUGCAGUGCCGUGGGCCCACCACUUCCCUUCUGGCCCACAUGUCAUGGAGACACGUCAGGCUGUGGUGGACAAGGGAAGACACCGCACCGCACGCACCUCCACCACUUGCCUUGCCUUUGCCUUCGCUUUUCCCACUUGUGCUGUGGGAAGACACCGCAUACACCUCCAGCUCGAGCUCGCCCGCCUAGCUAGGAGCUCCAGCAUCCGGUCCGCUCCGCCGCCGGUGCAGCAACCACGCCGCCGUCAGACCGCCUCGCGCGGCCACCGGUCGUCCCCGCGAUACACCGCCGCCGGUGCGCCGUGCGCGGCGGCGCUGUCCCGCCGCUCCUCCGCCUACCGUCCGCCUGCGCCACCACCAGCGCACCGGCAGCACCGCGAGCUGCUGCGCCGCCCCGACGUUGGUCCUUCCUGAGCCCGGUGUCGUCACCAGCGUCGCGGAGAAGCUAAUUACCUGGAGCAAUUUGUAGAAACAAAUAGUACUGGUUCGUUCACUUAUUUCUUUGCUGAAACUUAAUUUCUGCUUAGAGUUUGUGCCUAAAUUAGCUGCUUAUUCUGCUGGUUGCACGCAGGAGAUCGAGCUACGGGCGUACGGCCGGAUCGGAGGAGGACAUAUCAGCCGGGUUCCUGUUGGUUGUGUACUUGUGUUCCUGCCGGCAGAGAAGCAACCAUGGCCGAGUUACUGAUCGGGCCACUGAUCUCCAUGGUGAAGGAGAAGGCAUCCAGCUACCUGCUGGACCAAUACAAGGUGAUGGAAGGCAUGGAGGAGCAGCGCAAGACCCUGGAGCGCAUGCUGCCAGCAAUCCUGCAAAUCAUCCAGGAUGCGGAGGAGAAAGGAGCCUCCCGAUCUAAAGUUGCAGUUUGGCUUAAAGACCUCAAGACAGCGGCCUAUGAGGCCAACGACGUCUUUGAUGAGUUCAAGUACGAGGCGCUUCGGCGAGAAGCCAAGAAGAAGGGCCACCAAAGCAAGCUUGGAGCGGAGGUAGCAAGACUCCUAGUCCCCGCUCGUAAUUCCAUUGUAUUCCGUUACAGGAUGGGCAAGAAGCUAAGCAGGAUUGUGCAGACCAUCGAGGCCCUGGUCACCGAGAUGAAUAAAUUUGGUUUCAGACACUUGCAGCAAGCACAGCCAUCAAGGCAGUGGCGACAGACAGAUUCCAUAAUCAUUGACUCCGACACAGAUAUUCUUAGCAGAUCUAGAGAUCGGGAGAAGAAGAAAAUCGUGGGGAUGCUCCUUGAUCAAGCUAGCAACAUGGAUCUCAUGGUUCUUCCAAUUGUUGGGAUGGGUGGGAUGGGCAAGUCCACCUUUGUGCAACUCAUUUACAAUGACCCUGCAAUCGAGAAGCACUUUGAGCUUCGGAGGUGGUGCUGCGUGUCAGAUGAUUUCGAUGUCAGUACCAUUGCAAGCAACAUCUGCCAGACCAAUGAGAAAUAUCGUGAAAAAUCAUUGCAGGAGCUCCAGAGUACAAUAAGUGGAAAAAGAUACCUCAUUGUGUUAGAUGAUGUAUGGAAUCGGGAUGCUGAUAAGUGGGGAAAACUAAAGACCUGCCUUAAGCAGGGUGGCAAGGGCAGUGCGGUACUAACAACAACUCGUGAUGCAGAAGUGGCUCGCAUUAUGACCAUGGGUGUAGCUCAAGCCCAUAAUAUCGAGAAUCUGAGUGACGAGCAUUUAAAGGAAAUUGUCCAGAGCAGAGCAUUCAGCUUGCAAAAUCCAAAUAUGGAAGAGCAAGAUGGCAUUCUCAGUGGAUUUGUUCGUCGAUGCGUUGGAUCUCCCUUGGCUGCCAAAGCCUUUGGCUCUAUGUUGAGUAACAGGACUAGUGUAAAUGAAUGGAAGGAUGUAUUAGCUAAAAGUGACAUUUGUAGUGAGAAAACCGGAAUUUUACCGAUCCUCAAGCUCAGUUUUGAUGACCUAUCCUCAGAUAUGAAGCAGUGCUUUGCAUUUUGUGCUUUAUUUCCUAAAGAUUAUGAGAUUGAUGUGGACCUCUUGAUUCGACUGUGGAUGGCACAUGACUUCAUACCUGUGCAGGAGGAUGACAAUCUAGAAACCAUAGGAAAAUAUAUUUUUGAGGAGCUAACUCGGAGGUCAUUCUUUCAAGAUGUCAGGCAAACACUUCAAUUUGACUAUUUUGGAAGCAGGUUGUCGCUUCGUAAGUCAACCAUAUGCAAGAUACAUGAUCUCAUGCAUGACAUUGCUCUAUCUGUUCUGGGGAAAGAAUGUGUCACUAUAGUUGGUAAGCCGAGCGUCAACAAGCUGUUGCUAAAUCCGACCCGCCACGUCUUCUUAUCACUAUAUGGUUUCAAUCCUACUUUCUGGAAAGAACAGGUUACAAGUCUACUAGAUCAUCUAUUGAAGAAACAAACUGCAAUGCUCCAUACGUUGUUUAUCAAAGAUUAUGGUCAACCCCUUGAUAUAUCAAAGUACACUUCACUGCGAGCAUUACACCUUCCAGCAAAUGAAGAGCUAAGGUAUCCUAAUCUGUCGCCACAUGAACAGCUUACAAGACACAUACAACACCUAAGGUAUCUUAAUCUGUCAUCACAUUGGUUCGAGAAACUUCCUGAAGGUAUAAGCAUUAUGUAUCAUCUACAAACGUUGGACCUCUCUCAUUGCAAAUACCUUCGUCACCUUCCAAAGGAUAUGAAGUAUAUGGCAAACCUCCGACACCUCUAUACCCAUGGAUGCAUAUCAUUGACAUGCAUGCCUCCAGGACUUGGACAGAUCACUUCUCUGCAGACUCUAACAUAUUUUGUUAUUGGUGAUGGCUUGGGAUGUAGUACUAUUGGGGAACUUCAAAACUUAAACCUUGGUGGAGAGUUAGAGUUAAGUGGUCUGCAAAAUGUAACAGAAGUGCUUGCAAAAGCAGCCAGUCUUGAAAAUAAAGAGAGACUCACACACUUAUCUCUCGCGUGGAAUGAUGAUGCCCGUGAGAAACCAGAUUCUCAUAAUGAGGUGUUAGAUGCCCUUAAACCUCAUCACCGGCUAGAGAUGCUAAGAAUAAAGUCCUACAAAGGCACCAAAUUACCGUCAUGGAUAACAGAUCUUAGUCUGUUGCAGCACUUGACUGAGCUCCAACUGGUUGGUUGUAGGCUGUGCGAGGAAUUUCCUCAAUUCUGCCAUUUCAAAGCCCUUGAAGUUCUGUAUUUGAAAAAGUUGGACAAAUUGCAAAGCCUAUGCAGUCAUAUGGUGUCUACGCCAUUUCCAGCACUGAAGCAACUCCAGUUACAUGAUUUGGAGAGCUUGGAGAGAUGGGUCGCAACAGAAGGAAAAGAAGAUGAAUUAUCCUUUCCUGUACUUGAGGAGGUUGAAAUAGAGAACUGUCCAAAGUUGACUAGCCUACCUGAAGCACCAAAGCUCAAGGUUGUAAAGCUGGAUGAAGGCAAGCCGCUGCUCUCCUUAGGAAUAGUUAAAUCAAGGCACAUGUCUUCAAUUUCUAAGCUACUACUGCGUGUCCGUGACACAGAAGCACUGCCUCAGAUAGAUUAUAAUUGGGAUUCAUCACAGAAACUGGAACUAUCUUUGGGUGGCACAGAAGCCGCACCUCUGUCACAACUGAGCAUAUUUGGCUGCAACUUUUUAUUCGUAUCAAGCCACUCACAGCUAACACCUGGGGUCUGGAAAUGGUUUGAACAUCUUGCAGUUUUAACAAUUGCAAAAUGUGAUGUGCUCAUCUACUGGCCAGAAGAAGUGUUCCAAAGCUUGGUAUCUUUGAAGUACUUGUUCAUUUUCUCCUGCAACAAGCUAAUAGGGCCCACACAAGCGAAAGGUGACAAACCUACACAAACAACAGAUCAAGUCCUGCCACAUCUAAACAUGAUACGUAUACACAAUUGUGAAAGCAUGGCACAGCUCUUCAUUCUUCCCCCAUCUAUCAGAAUUAUUCAUAUUUUUGAGUGCCCUAAGCUUGAGUUCAUAUGGGGAAAAGAGGAGCAUCUUGACACAUAUGCAUCGCUGGAACAUUGCCGCGACCCUGCAUCCACCACUGGUAACCUAGAGCAAUCGCCGUCUCCAAUUAUUCGCCGUCCAUGCCUUGUAGAUCUAACUAUAAGAGGAUGUGAUAGCCUGGUAACACUUCCAAAUCUACCACCGUCCCUCAAGGAAUUAUUCAUCCGGAAGUGUGAGAAGCUCUGCUCUGUGUCAGGAGACCUGUGUGCACUCGAGACCCUACAGAUUGUUAACUGCAAUAAGUUACAGUCAGUCAAUUCCUUGGGAGACCACCCAUCAUUAGAAACACUGUUUCUUUCUGGCUGCCGAUGCCUUGCAUCUUUAGGAUGUGAUGGUGGUCGUGGGAGUUACUCUGCUCUUCAGUGCCGUGAGAUCGAAGACUGCCCAGCCAUAGAUAUGAAGCAGUUUUACUAACGCCAUCAAACAGCUGCUUGACAGCUUUGAAUAUGAAGACGUAUCACACGUUCAUUCAAGCAGCUCUGAUGAAGGUACGACCUUUCACUUUCCUCUUAUUCAAUUUGUUUCCUUCAAAUUUCCCUUCUUUGCAUGCCCUCCUAUUUUGUUGACGAUCUGGUUUAUAGAUGGGCUUGCGGGGUGGGAUUUUGGGGUUUCAUCUUCGUUCCGGCUUUUAGACGGUCCUUUCUCACUGACGUGACCCCACAUAUAUUUUAGUUUAUACGGCUAUUGGUUUUCAGUCUUCGAUGCAGUUGAAGUGCAUAGGGAAAUUCUGGAAACAUGUUCUAUCCCUUGGUGUUGAGAUCAGCUGAUGCGGAAUCACUGAAGUACUACUGAAACGAGAUCCUGAUCGGUCUCAGUUGUGGAGAGCAAUUUGUGAUGAAUGGAAGCAGUCCCAAGGCUUCAAGAACUCAUGGAGUCGUGCUGUACCAUUCUCCACUGCCAGGGCCUAAACUAGGUACAUGGAAGGCGCACAGGUUGGGAUAGUAAAAAACCAUACCUUUGUCUGUGUUAGAGCAACUCCAAGAGGCUGCUAAUCUUACCCCAAUACCUUUUUUAGGAAAAAAAAAGAGAAAAAAUGAACUCCAACAAUCCACCUAAACCUUCCCCAAUUUUUUAGCGACGCUAAAAAACAGCCUGCCAUCGCGUAUAUUUUAGCGUUGGCGUUCCUUCCCCAAUCCUGAUUCCCGCACACCCGCGCGUCCCUUCCGAUGGGCCCAAUACGAUGACGUGGCCUGUGUUUGAAAUAUUGGGGGCUAUUUAUUAGCGAUCUGUUGUGGACUGAUAUGCUUUUGGGGGAAAUUUUUUUUGGGAGAACCCCCAAUACAUAGUUUUGGGGAAGAAUUUUUUAGGAUACUCUUGGAGUUGCUCUUAGAGCAUCUUCAAGAGUCUGCCAAAAAACUCUUCCCCAAAACCACAUCAUCCCACAAUAGAUCCCUAAUAAUAAAUUUUCCAAUAUUUUAAAAUUUGCCACAUCAGCAUGCGUGGACCCUAAGCUGGGCUGCCCCCUUCCCCCGCUGGAGCGUUUUCGCGCUUUCGCACUGUGGCUGCCUGAGCAGGGGUUGGUCUGUGCUGAUUUGCUGAACCAUGCAUAUUAUAUGCACUGGGACUGUCAUGCCCUCAGAAAAGCAUCAUCAUCUACUGGUAUGACGUCAAUUCAGCCUCAAACUCUCAACACUGAAGGCCUUCGAGGACUAGGACUACGCCAGCGCCACCCAUUGAAUCCCAUCCCCAUCUCGGCCACGUGCCAUGCCAUGCCCAGCCGUGGGGCACUGGGCAGCCCACGUGCAGCCACUUGUGGCCACGGACGCCCAGCCAGACCAUCACCCCCAAGAGGAGGAACGCCUUAUCUUUUCACCAUGAGAAAGCAGAGUCUAACGGUCCGUGGGCAAUAGGAAAAUCAGCACCGGCGGACUCCUGUGUUCACCUUCAUAUUUUUCGUGGUCUAUAUUAUGCGAGUUAUAGCAGUCCUAGGGAAUUUGUUUGGUGUCUCGGAGUUGUCAUAUUCCUAUUAAUGAUUGUGACAGCUUUUAUAGGAUACGUACCACCUUGGGGUCAGAUGAGCUUUCGGGGAGCAACAGUAAUUACAAGCUUAGCUAGCGCCAUACCAGUAGUAGGAGAUACCAUAGUGACUUGGCUUUGGGGUGGUUUCUCCGUGGACAAGGCUCUUGGAGUUGCUCUUAAUCAAUUCUCAUUUAGCACUCUGUUGUUAACAUGUUACCCCCAUGCUUUUCAUUUUUUCUGUGCAGACAUGACCCAUUUAUCCUUAAAAGGCAUAAAGGAGGGCACUCACAUGUACGCACGACUGGCAACUGGAAGCUUCGUUGCAAGCCUCUGCUAACGACCAAGUUUGUUUUCACGCCACUAUACCAGCUGCUGGUAAUUCUCUUGUCACUAAUGUCAUCCUGUCAUCCAUCAAAGCCGUGGAGAAUAUGAUGCCACUCUGAGUCCUUCAGUUUGCCACGUGAGCCGAUGAAGCAGAAACAGAUGAUGAUGAUGGAUGAUAUAACUGCGGGGAUGCAGACUUGCUUUCAACGGUCGAAAUGGAGCUACAAAUGAUUAGUCGUAGUCGUGUGUGGUCCUUCCAUCACCUUGUGUUAUUGAUCCCGUUUGUAUGUGUUGCGUUCUCUAUAUCCCUCCAUAGCUUUUCAGUUGUUGUCUCUUUUACGACUAUUUUGAUUCCUCUUUUCCUUUUUAUUAAUAUAACACAAAAAUCCUCUUGCCAUGUUUUUGAAAAAACAAAAUCGUGAGGAUGCUGCUUCAUGAAGCUAGCAACAUGGAUCUCAUAUGGUUCUUCCGAUUGUUGGGAUUGGUGGGAUGGGCAAGACCACCUUUAAUUUGUGCAACUCAUUUAUGACCCUGAUCGUGAUGCAUUUUGAGCUUCAGAGGUGGUGCUGUGUGUCAGAUUCGAAAAUGUUUUUUGACUCUUUCAUCACCGCCUUCAGUAGCUCAUGCCGGUCAGGUCUUCUCCAGUGACCAGUUCCUUCACCUUGGUUGCGCACCCCCUCACCUGGGCUUGCAGCUAGGUCAUAGCCUUGGCAUUCCGCAUCAUCUCAGCCAUGGCAUAGUCUAGUGCUACGUAGGUUGUGUCCGUCCCGGCUUCAAACAUGUCCUUCAUGAACAUAUCCGUAGAACUCCAAUCAAAUUUAACCAAACUAGUCAUGAAACAUGUCAUAUGUACCUCUUGUGAGAAUUAAAUUGGAGGCUUAAAAUCCUUCAAUUAGUAACAGUAAGAAAUUAAUUAAAAUUUGGAGUUUUGUUGCAUACAAGUUGCCAGUCACCAGUACAGAAAUGACCUUUAGUCCUGGUUAGGAAACCUUGGGAAACCUCAAAGAGCUCGGUUUUCCCGACCGGGAUUAAGUAUUCGGGAUUUAGUCCUGUAACACCAUGUGCUUUGCCUUAUAAUGAAAGCCACUAAAAAUUCGAACUUCUAAAAUUUUCCUAUAAACUAAAAUGUGCCUUGCUAUUUCAUACCUCAAAACCCUUUCAAAAUAAAUUUUACAAAACAACCUUCAUCAAAAUUCACCAUAUGCAUUUUAUUGUGCUUGUUUGAGUGUUGUUUGCUUGUGUGCUUUGUUGAAUCUUUUGGUGGCAACCAACCCCUUGACCUCCUUUCCAAAUUUCCCACAAAUCCUUGUUAAACAUCCCUUCGAAUUCCUCAAAUCCAUUCAAACUCCAUUUCAAAUCUCUUCCAAAAUUAUUCAAACCAUUUCCUUGGGUGCAGGCUCAAUUUCCCUCUCCUCUCCUUUCGGCCUGGCGUGGCUUGCUUCUCCUUCUCCCUUUCAGCCCAGCUCGGCCCGCCCCUCCUCGCCUUCUUCUUUCCCGAGCAGGCCACCUCCUCCUCCUCCUUUACUUCCGCACGGCCCGGUCCAGCCCACAACGGCCGCCACCUCUCUCUUCCUCUCCGCACCAGCACCGCCCAUGAGAAUGGCCCGUGACGACCCGGCUCCCACUCCAUGUCAGCAUUGCGUCCGCACACAGCCGCUGAUGAGUAGGUCCCACUCAAUAGCGUCAUCCCCAACCUCGUGUCGUCUUCCCCAAUGCGUCUCGUUGCCGCCGCCUUGUCCCAUCUCCGCCCGUCGCCUAUGCCGUCGUGCCGGCCCCGAAGAAAUAUCUCGCCGCUCCAUCCCAUCAUGGCCCCACCUGUCAUCCCGCACGGUCCUAAAAGAUCUCCGCCGCCCGCUCCACGGACCUCUGUGCACAAUCGACCUCUCGCGGCUAUAAAAGCUGGCGAGCCCCGCCAUCGCUCCCCGCACCUCAAGCUCGAGCUCCCUCCCUCUUCUUCUGCUCGAGCUCGCCUCCUCCCUCUUUAGUCCUCUCCUCCCUCCACCGGAGCACGGCUUCCUCCGAAGCCACGCCUCGCCGAGCCCUGCCCUUCCCUCUUCCUGUCUAGCGCGCCACCGCACAGAACUGCCAGCCAAGCACUAGCGCCGCCACCGUGACAAACUCGAGGAGGACAAAGUGCCGAGCGACGUUGGAUCGGUAACAAGCGGCCCUGAUCUGCCUGAGCUAAUUCGCGUCCCACACCCGAUGACAAGUAGGCCCGAGUCUAACGCCGAAAAUGCCGUCUGUUGGUGACCAGUGGGCACCACAUCAGCAAGCAAGCUCCCAGACAUCACCAUGGCACUGGGAGGGUGCCUCGCAAGCACCACGCGGACACACCCGUAGCAAAUGACACGUCAUCAUGGGUCCACAUGUGAGUUACUGUGUGACACUGUGCGGUCAACAGUCAACACUGACCAGGGACACACCUGGAGUAACUGUGUCGACGGUAAAAUUACUACGCGUACUCAGGUUAGUGUACACGGAAGUCUCGUUUACCCCUUUCCUUGCACAAGCAAGCUCCCAGACAAAUUGUCACUCGCCAUGGCACUGGGAGGGUGCCUCGCAAGCGCCACGCGGACACACCCGUAGCAAAUGACACGUCAUCAUGGGCCCACAUGUGAGUUACUGUGUGACACUGUGCGGUCAAUAGUCAACACUGACCAGGGACACACCUGGAGUAACUGUGUCGACGGUAAAAUUACUACGCGUACUCAGGUUAGUGUACACGGAAGUCUCGUUUACCCCUUUCCUUGCACAGAAAAAUUUCCAAAAAAUUCCUAAAAAUACUAGAGCCACCCUAUAACCCAUCCAAACCUUUUGCACCCCAUUUCCAUCAUACAAAAUUAUGGGAAAAUAAAUUUCACCACUCAGGCACUCAUAAAUUCCAAUAAAUCACAUAAAUUCCCGAUAAAUUCCCAAAAAUCAUCUCUCCUGUCAAACUCCGUUUCUGUCAAUUCUUCCACCAAAAUUCUUCUAAAAUUAAAUCCUUGAUAUCCCUUCCGGUGCCACCAUUAGUUUCUUUGUUUGAUUCUUGAUUUGUUCAUGUAUUGCUCUUCGACCUGUUAGUCACUAACAUCACACAAACCCCUUAUGCUCAUGCAUGCAUAUACACUGUAGCAUGUAUACAACUAUAUGAGUAUACAUACACCCCCCUUCACACACCUACCACCGAUACUUUUUUUAUUUUUGUUUUUGCAAAAAAAAAAUCAAAACUAUUUAGUCCCAGUUGGUAAUACCAACAGGGACUAAAAGGGGCGGGAGGUAGCCACUGGCGCCGUGAUCGUUUUCUUCCGGUUGGUAUUACCAACUGGGACUAAAAGGGGAUAUUAUAUCCCGGUUUUGGGACCCGUGAUAAAAGACCCCCCUAUCUCGACAAGUUAAUCCUAGAUGCAUUUUCGGAAGAUAUGCACCCUACAAACCGGUACUAAUACCGAAUUUUCUAAUAGUGAAUGGUGCCGGUAGGCGUCCCCUUCAGCUGCAUUCUCUUCCAACCUGCAUACAAAGAGUCACUGGAGAUAGCGUGAUACAACCUCGGUUAGUCAGGCGAUCAAAUGAUAUAACCUCGAGUUAAUCUAGGCCGAAGCCAAUUAGCUUCCGUGUUUCUAUCUGAAGCUGGCAGAGUUAGCGCCUUGUCUGGGCGAGCUAAGACCCGGGUUAUAGGCGAAGGGGAUGAGUUUUGGACAGAUCCCCAACAUCUCGAAAAAUUAAUCUCGGUUGGGCAUUGGAGAGUUAUGCUCCUUCCCAACCGGGACUAAUAGUCAGUUUUCUACUACUGGUUGUGUAGAGGUGAGGAGGCGAGGGUUUUAGGUGAGGACGAUGAGGUGGCACCGCUCCCUUUCUCCGAUUCAACUGUCUCUAUAAAAUUGAUAUGGUUAGAUAUGUCAUAUUCUGUGGUACCACCUCGCGAUCACGAUGUGUGUGCCUCUAUAUAUGUUGUGCCAUUGCAGUCCAUUCGAUCGAGGGAGUACCAUAGCGUGACUGAACUACUGAAAAUGAAAAGCCUACACUUCUGCAACAACACAGUCUACCCCUAUGUUUACAACCUGACUUCCUCCUACAUCGACCAGAACAAUGAGGCCACCAUGGUGACCACCACCUUGGUCAUGUUUAUGCUGGCCGUGUUCGUCUUCAACCUCAACCUCUUCAGCCGCUUCUUGGACGUGAGCGCGAUUCUCAACCCUAGCGUCCGCCUCUUCCUCUCCACCUCCCUGUCCCUCUUCCUGCCGGUCAUGUCCUACCUCUUCUCCGAGGCCAAGAACCAAGGUGCAACGACGACCAUGGCUGCUAGUACUAGUAGCUCCAGUUAUGGCGAGCUCGGUGACGAGCUGUCACUUCGAGCUAGGACGAUCCUCAUGUGGAUGCUUCUUGUGGAGCUCCUACGCAAGAAGGUGGAGGCCGUCCUGGUCAACGUGGGCAUGCAGUGGUACUCAGGCGCCAUCGAUCGCUUCGCCCGCAUUGUUUGGCUCUGCUAGCUCGUCUUCUACAAUGUCAAAAGCCCCGGCAAGAAGGCGAUCUACGGCACCUUAUGGGUCCUCACUGCUGCCAAGUUCCUGCAAAGGGUCGUCGUCAAGAUGGUGCUGGAGCGUUCCUUCGCCUACGGAAGGAACACCCAGCUGCUCAACUCAUACAUGGCCCAGAUCAUCCAACAACAAGAGCAAGAGGAGCAC
rnacentral:lncRNA from 1 species